UACGGAGGGUGCAAGCGUUAUCCGGAAUUACUGGGUUUAAAGGGUGCGUAGGCGGUUAAUUAAGUCAGAGGUGAAAGGUAAUUGCUUAACGAUUGAAUUGCCUUUGAUACUGGUUAACUUCAAAGGAGAUGAGGUUGGCGGAAUGUGAUAUGUAGCGGUGAAAUGCGUAGAUAUAUCAUAGAACACCGAUUGCGAAGGCAGCUGACUAAUCUUACUUUGACGCUGAGGCACGAAAGCGUGGGGAGCGAACAGG
rnacentral:rRNA from 1 species